rnacentral:rRNA from 1 species
AGUGAACGCUGGCGGUAGGCCUAACACAUGCAAGUCGAACGGCAGCACAGUAAGAGCUUGCUCUUACGGGUGGCGAGUGGCGGACGGGUGAGGAAUACAUCGGAAUCUACUUUUUCGUGGGGGAUAACGUAGGGAGACUUACGCUAAUACCGCAUACGACCUACGGGUGAAAGCAGGGGAUCUUCGGACCUUGCGCGAUUGAAUGAGCCGAUGUCGGAUUAGCUAGUUGGCGGGGUAAAGGCCCACCAAGGCGACGAUCCGUAGCUGGUCUGAGAGGAUGAUCAGCCACACUGGAACUGAGACACGGUCCAGACUCCUACGGGAGGCAGCAGUGGGGAAUCUUGGACAAUGGGCGCAAGCCUGAUCCAGCCAUACCGCGUGGGUGAAGAAGGCCUUCGGGUUGUAAAGCCCUUUUGUUGGGAAAGAAAAGCAGCAGGUUAAUACCCCGCUGUUCUGACGGUACCCAAAGAAUAAGCACCGGCUAACUUCGUG